AACGAACGCUGGCGGCAUGCCUAACACAUGCAAGUCGAACGAGACCUUUGGGUCUAGUGGCGCACGGGUGCGUAACGCGUGGGAAUCUGCCCUUGGGUUCGGAAUAACAGUGAGAAAUUGCUGCUAAUACCGGAUGAUGUCUUCGGACCAAAGAUUUAUCGCCCAGGGAUGAGCCCGCGUAGGAUUAGCUAGUUGGUGGGGUAAUGGCCUACCAAGGCGACGAUCGUUAGCUGGUCUGAGAGGAUGAUCAGCCACACUGGGACUGAGACACGGCCCAGACUCCUACGGGAGGCAGCAGUGGGGAAUAUUGGACAAUGGGCGCAAGCCUGAUCCAGCAAUGCCGCGUGAGUGAUGAAGGCCUUAGGGUUGUAAAGCUCUUUUACCAGGGAUGAUAAUGACAGUACCUGGAGAAUAAGCUCCGGCUAACUCCGUG
rnacentral:rRNA from 1 species